CAACAUCCAUUCUGCAGCCCAUGAAUUAAGGAGAAAUUUCAACUUUUAAGUCUUAUGAUUUAAGAAAGACAUUUCAUAGGCUAUAGCUGCUAUAGGUAGUGUUCCUCUGAUGGACCUGGGCAAAGUAAAUUGAAAACCUUCUGGAAAGGAUUCCUCAUUCUAGAUUCUAUUAAGAACAUUUGUGUACGGAAUGUAGUAAGUCAUUUAGUUCUUCCAGUGUUAAGGCCAUGAAAAGACUCAUACUGAAGAACCUGAUGAAUGUAAGAAAUGUGGUAAAGGCUUUGGUUGUUCCAGUUCCCUUUGAAAGCAUGAAAUAUCUUAUAUGUGGUUUUUAAAAACCCUAUGAAUGUAGGAAAUUUGUUAAAGCUUUCAGAUGUUCUAGUUUCACUAGAACUCACGAAAAAACUCGCGCUGGAGAAAACCCAACAAAUAUAAGAAAUAUAAAAAUGUAUGCAAUUUCCCCAGUUCCCUUCAAAAACUUAAAAGAACCUAUACUGGGGAGAAAACCUCACAAAUGGACAAAAGUGGUAAAGCAUUUCAUUUUCCCAUUUGCUUUCAGAUGCAUAAAAGAAUUCACAAUGGAGAAAUACCCUGUUAUUUUCAGAAAUGUGAUAAAGCCUUUAGUUUUUUUCAUUUUUCUUGAAAUCAUGGAAGGACUUGGUGGAGAAAAGCCUUAUGAAUGUAAAUAUAUGAAUCUGCUGCCGGUGAAGAAGCUAUGAACAUUGUUGAAAUGACAACAAAGAGCUUGGAAUGUUACAUAACUUAUUUGAUAAUUCAGCGGCAGUGUUUGAGAGAAUUUACCACAAACUUGAAAAAAGUUAUAUGACUGAAAUUCUACCAAACAGCAUCGCACGCUACAGAGAAAUCUUUUGUGAAAGUAAAUCUUCAUUGUUGUCUUAUGAUAAGAAAUUGCCACAGUCACCCCUAACUUCAACAACCACCGCUUGAUCAAUCAGCAGCCACCAAUAUCAAGGCAAGACUCUCUACCGGCAAAAAGAUUAUGACUUGCUGAAGGCUCAGGUGACUAUUUGCAUUUUUCUUAGUAAUAUGGUAUUUUUAAAUUAAGGUGUGGAUAUAUUUUAGACAUAAUGCUGUUGCACAGUAAAUAGACUAGAGUUGUUUUUGUAUGCAUUGAGAAACCCCCAAAUUUUUGUAACUCACUUUAUCAUGCUAUUAACUUUGUUGUGGUGAUCAGAGACCAAACCUACAGUAUCUCAGAAGUAUGCCUGCACUUUUUAUUUUGAACUAAUUAGUUUUCUAUUAUUUUUAUAAAUAUUAACUACUAAUUAUGAGUUGAUUUUGUUUUUGUGAUUUGGCUUCUUG
rnacentral:lncRNA from 1 species